UGCUGCGUGGUGUUGGACCAUCCUCUGAGAGAGCUGGCUCCUGGUCUGAGGAAGUUUUAACCAACUUGUUAGGAAUGUGUCUAUAACUUCUGGUGGAGUACCAGUACUAGACUCUGUGGACAGUAAACACAUGUUCCAAGGACGGCUGACACUGAGCCCUGCACACAGAGCUCAUGGGCAGUACUGGGUGCUUGGAACCUGCCUCUGACUUCAUGUGACAGUCCUGGCUCCUCCUUCAGCUCAGCCACGCUUUGGAAACCAGACCCAGCCUCCACAGAGACCUGCUCCCUGCCAGGAUGAUACAGGGAUAGUUCUGUAUGAGAGGACUUCCUCUGGGCCAGGAGUCAGGGCUGGAAAAAACAAUGCAGUCUUUUGACAGUCUCUUUGAAGGUAUCUGGGGAAAAAGCCAUGCCCUACCUCCUCCCUGCUCCCCCUGCCCCAAACCUCAUGCUCAUUUAAUUCUUUUUGAACAUUGGAUAUCAAACAUAAAGUGCUGGACCUGGUUGUCCUUAUUCACACUGGUCUCAAAGAACAUAAAUUCACAGGAGCUGGUGAGAAGUUUGUCAAGCCCAUUGAUCUACCUAAAGGUUUAUAGGAUAAAGGGACACAAAAAAAAUCUUCCUUUGCUUUUCAGGUCAUGAUCUGUAAAAGACAGCUGCCUCUGCUGAUUGCUGUCAGGUCCCAAGGAAGGGCUGCAUUCAAGGGAGGGUGGGACAAACUCACAAGGAUGUUUGUGAGCCAAAAUGCAAGUCUCCAUCAAAUAAAGCAAUCUUGAUCUUGCA